CUCUUUGUACUACACACGCCAUAUAAAUAUUUCUCUUUUGGGGCUUACUUCACCUGAGCGGUGGUUCGUCGACGGCUCAUUACAAGCGACGACGACGAUGACGACGACAUUAUCGUGUCGUACCGCUUGCAGCGGCUCGUGCCGCACGUCUACGGCCGCCUAGGAGGGAGGCCGUUCCGGCGGCGUCGCGGCCUCUACCCCGACUUAGAAAAGUAAGCGAAGCAACGCGACUAGCUCUCCGAACCGCUGCGGAACCCGUGCGACCGGAAGUGGACCCGGUGGCAGCAGGACGAGCCGCCGAUGCGGUUGAGGUUGCUGGAGCCGAGCCUAAAGCCCCAGAACUGCCGGUAUCAAAAGGACCUCCGGAACUCCCAAUAAAUCGAGUUUUUUAGUCAUUUACGUACUUUUUAUCGUUUACUUCCGUCUUUCCCGAGUUUCAACUACUCUACCGGAACUUACCACGUAUGACUUACGUUUUUUUCAGACCUCAACAUUAUUCAAAUUUUUUACUUUACGGAAACAUUGUCUACUCAAAAGCAGGCUUUGGGACUAUGAAGUUUUCUCUAACAGGUCAAACAUGUGCUUCACGUAGGUCAAAGACGGCAUUGGGAGAGAUGAAAAAAAAACGUGUACGAUACACCCAC
rnacentral:rRNA from 1 species